UACGUAGGUGGCAAGCGUUGUCCGGAUUUACUGGGCGUAAAGGAUGCGUAGGCGGAUAUUUAAGUGGGAUGUGAAAUACCCGGGCUCAACCUGGGUGCUGCAUUCCAAACUGGAUAUCUGGAGUGCGGGAGAGGAGAAUGGAAUUCCUAGUGUAGCGGUGAAAUGCGUAGAGAUUAGGAAGAACACCAGUGGCGAAGGCGACUUUCUGGACCGUAACUGACGCUGAGGCAUGAAAGCGUGGGGAGCAAACAGG
rnacentral:rRNA from 1 species